GAUGAACGCUGGCGGCGUGCCUAAUACAUGCAAGUCGAACGCGCAGCGAGAGUUGCUUGCACCUUUCAAGCGAGUGGCGAACGGGUGAGUAACACGUGGAUAACCUGCCUCAAGGCUGGGGAUAACAUUUGGAAACAGAUGCUAAUACCGAAUAAAACUUAGUAUCGCAUGAUAUCAAGUUAAAAGGCGCUACGGCGUCACCUAGAGAUGGAUCCGCGGUGCAUUAGUUAGUUGGUGGGGUAAAGGCUUACCAAGACGAUGAUGCAUAGCCGAGUUGAGAGACUGAUCGGCCACAUUGGGACUGAGACACGGCCCAAACUCCUACGGGAGGCUGCAGUAGGGAAUCUUCCACAAUGGGCGCAAGCCUGAUGGAGCAACGCCGCGUGUGUGAUGAAGGCUUUCGGGUCGUAAAGCACUGUUGUAUGGGAAGAAAUGCUAAAAUAGGGAAUGAUUCUAGUUUGACGGUACCAUACCAGAAAGGGACGGCUAGAUACGUGCCAGCAGCCGCCGUAA
rnacentral:rRNA from 1 species